UUAGCAUAGAGGACUAGAGUGGCGUAAGGGUGCGUAACACGUAUGCAUCUGCCCUCAACAGGAGGAUAGCUCCCCGAAAGGGAAUUAAGACUCCAUAAGAUCACACGACGGCAUCGAAGAGUGAUUAAGUACAAGCGGUUGAGGAUGAGCAUGCGCAUGAUUAGUUAGUUGGCAGUGUAAUGGACUACCAAGACAAUGAUCAUUAGGGGAACUGAGAGGUUGAUCCCCCACACUGGCACUGAGAUACGGGCCAGACUCCUACGGGAGGCAGCAGUAGGGAAUAUUGGACAAUGGGUGCAAGCCUGAUCCAGCCAUGCCGCGUGCAGGAAGACGGCCUUCUGGGUUGUAAACUGCUUUUGCCUGGGGAUUAAAAUAGCUUUGCGAAGCGAAUUGAAGGUACCAGGUGAAUAAGCCACGGCUAACUACGUGCCAGCAGCCGCGGUAAUACGUAGGUGGCAAGCGUUGUCCGGAUUUAUUGGGGUUUAAAGGGUGCGUAGGCGGUCUGUAAAGUCAGUUGUGGAAAUACGGAGUUACUGUCGAGGUGCAAUUGAUACUGGCAGGGACUUGGAGUACUGAUGAAGUAGGCGGGAAUGGACGGUGUAGCGGUGAAAAUGCUUAGAGAUCGUCCAGAACACCGAUAG
rnacentral:rRNA from 1 species